CCUACGGGGGGCAGCAGUGAGGAAUAUUGGUCAAUGGGCGGAAGCCUGAACCAGCCAAGUAGCGUGCGGGAUGAAGGCCCUACGGGUCGUAAACCGCUUUUGCACGGGGAUAACACCCUCCACUUGUGGAGGUCUGCAGGUACCGUGCGCAUACGGGCCGGCUAAUUCCGUGCCAGCAGCCGCGGUAAUACGGAAGGCCCGAGCGUUAUCCGGAUUCCUUGGGGUAAAAGGGUGCGCAGGAGGAAGAUCAAGUGAGCGGUAAAAUUGAGAGGCUACACCUUUUCGAGCCGUUGAAAUUGGUUUUCUUGAGGGAGUGGGAAGUAUGCGGAAUGCGUGGUGUAGCGGUGAAAUGCAUAGAUAUCACGCAGAACUCCGAUUGCGAAGGCAGCAUACCGGCGCUCAACUGACGCUCAUGCACGAAAGUGUGGGUAUCGAACAGGAUUAGAUACCCGGGUAGUC
rnacentral:rRNA from 1 species